UGAGGAAUAUUGGUCAAUGGACGAGAGUCUGAACCAGCCAAGUAGCGUGAAGGAUGACUGCCCUAUGGGUUGUAAACUUCUUUUAUACGGGAAUAAAGUUUGCCACGUGUGGCAUUUUGUAUGUACCGAUGAAUAAGGAUCGGCUAACUCCGUGCCAGCAGCCGCGGUAAUACGGAGGAUCCGAGCGUUAUCCGGAUUUAUUGGGUUUAAAGGGAGCGUAGGCGGAAGCUUAAGUCAGUUGUGAAAGUUUGCGGCUUAACCGUAAAAUUGCAGUUGAUACUGGAUAUCUUGAGUGCAGUUGAGGCAGGCGGAAUUCGUGGUGUAGCGGUGAAAUGCUUAGAUAUCACGAAGGACUCCGAUUGCGAAGGCAGCCUGCUAAGCUGCAACUGACAUUGAGGCUCGAAAGUGUGGGUAUCAAACAGGAUUAGAUACCC
rnacentral:rRNA from 1 species